ACGGUGGGCUCAAGCAGCUCCAUGUAAUGGGGUGAUGGCUGGCUGGGUUUUGGGUCCGGAGUGUGGCUGGUGACGUCCUCAAUGGUGAAAGCCGAUCCACAGGAGACCAGCACCCACUCCACAAACGCGGAAAAACUCCCUCGAGGACUUUAAUUUUAGCAAAGCGUAACUUAUGCAAAAAUAUACACACAGCAUGUACAUUUGUUUGUCAUAGGAUUAGCAGAUAUUAAUAGUAAAUUUUAUAUGUAGAUGUUGAGAGCAACUUGGAGGAAGCGGCAACGAGUAGCUCUAUGCAGACCGAAGAGGAUACAGGUGAAGAAGGCACUGCCCAUGCUCUACCAAGCACUGCAAAAAAAGAGCAAAACCUUCAUCUCGAUAUGCCAAACUAAUGCACAUUUGGUCAGCUGAACAAAGAUCCUUCUUGGAUGGAAUUAAACAUCACCAAGAGAGAAAUCAACAACGGAAUGAGAUGUUACUUUCAAGGUUUCUUGAAGAAAACACUUGCUCAACUGAAGAUCUGUUAGGACAAAUAUUUGAGGGUCUCAGAUGUAUUCUUCCACAACAGCAAGCUCAACAUUUCCAGGGACAAGCUCCACCAAUCAACCCUUACAAUAUAUGCAGCCUCCGCAGCAGUUCCAUUAUUUGAGGAAUGUUAUGUAAUUUCUGAAACCACCUGGCAAGCUCCAGUGCUUCCUCUUCAUAUGGAACUCGGAUCAGCUGCUUUAUCGGUCACUUUACCAUGCCCUUACAGAACAUAUGAACAAAUUUCUUGACUGUGGUUUUAUAGAUGAUUGCGACUCGCAUUGUGAGUGGUAUUGGUGCCCUAACUGUAACAUCAUCAGGUGCCAUGUACCCCUCCAUCAUUAAGCAUAGUGUCAUAAAGGACUGUCUUGUCAUCCUAAAAUUCUCCUUCCACUCGUCUGUGAAGUGGUGCAAGACGACGUUGUCCCACCAGUCCUGGCUACGAACCCUCAUCCACAGACACCUUGUUCUGGGCUCGGGAAGAGGCAUUUAAAUUGCAUGGAUUCUUUGAGAGCGUUGCAGUGGACAAGUUCCAUAGGUUUUGCUUGGCGACGAGGAGUGACAGCCAAGACACAGACGUCUCUUCAGGCACUUUUGAACCCGGAACUAAGGAAAGUCACAACCAGCACGUACAGGAGGUAUGUCAAGAUCUCACUUUAGCUAAAGAGUUGGUGUGAAAGGAGAAUGUGUGUUGACAGACAGCCUGGAGCACUUUCAUGUUGUUCGUGGGUACCCCCUUGAUAUCCUGCAUGACCAUUUGGAAGGGAUUGUUCCUGUUGAGUUAUCAUUCUGCAUUUCAGAUCUGAUUUCUAAGAAAUGUUUCAGCUUAGAAAUACUGAACCAUGCUAUCAAAACAUUUGCAUAUGCCUUUAAUGACUCCACAGACCAUAGGUGGAAAUGGCCAUGAGAACUGGGCU